rnacentral:tRNA from 1 species
GGGGAUACAGCUCAGUGGUAGAGCACGAGCUUAGCAUUCACGAGGUCCUGGGUUCAAUCCCUGGUACCCUCA